CCUACGGGAGGCAGCAGUGGGGAAUAUUGCACAAUGGGCGAAAGCCUGAUGCAGCGACGCCGCGUGAGGGAUGACGGCCUUCGGGUUGUAAACCUCUUUCAGCAGGGAAGAAGCGAAAGUGACGGUACCUGCAGAAGAAGCACCGGCUAACUACGUGCCAGCAGCCGCGGUAAUACGUAGGGUGCGAGCGUUGUCCGGAAUUAUUGGGCGUAAAGAGCUUGUAGGCGGUUUGUCGCGUCUGCCGUGAAAAUUCGAGGCUCAACCUCGAACUUGCGGUGGGUACGGGCAGACUAGAGUGUGGUAGGGGAGACUGGAAUUCCUGGUGUAGCGGUGAAAUGCGCAGAUAUCAGGAGGAACACCGAUGGCGAAGGCAGGUCUCUGGGCCACUACUGACGCUGAGAAGCGAAAGCAUGGGGAGCGAACAGGAUUAGAUACCCUGGUAGUCCAUGCCGUAAACGUUGGGAACUAGGUGUGGGUCUCAUUCCACGAGAUCCGUGCCGCAGCUAACGCAUUAAGUUCCCCGCUGGGGAUACGGCCGCAAGGCAAAACUUAAGGAAUUGACGGCUGAGACGNGCGAGACGACGACGAGGGAGAG
rnacentral:rRNA from 1 species